rnacentral:rRNA from 1 species
AGCGAACGCUGGCGGCAGGCCUAACACAUGCAAGUCGAACGGAUCCUUCGGGAUUAGUGGCGGACGGGUGAGUAACACGUGGGAACGUGCCCUUUGGUUCGGAGCAACUCAGGGAAACUUGAGCUAAUACCGGAUGUGCCCUUCGGGGGAAAGAUUUAUCGCCAUUGGAGCGGCCCGCGUCUGAUUAGCUAGUUGGUGAGGUAAAGGCUCACCAAGGCGACGAUCAGUAGCUGGUCUGAGAGGAUGAUCAGCCACAUCGGGACUGAGACACGGCCCAAACUCCUACGGGAGGCAGCAGUGGGGAAUCUUGCGCAAUGGGCGAAAGCCUGACGCAGCCAUGCCGCGUGAAUGAUGAAGGUCUUAGGAUUGUAAAAUUCUUUCACCGGGGACGAUAAUGACGGUACCCGGAGAAGAAGCCCCGGCUAACUUCGUGCCAGCCGCCGCCGUAA